UUCCGGUUGAUCCUGCCGGAGGCCAUUGCUAUCGGAGUUCGAUUUAGCCAUGCUAGUCGCACGGGUUUAGACCCGUGGCGAAAAGCUCAGUAACACGUGGCCAAACUACCCUAUGGAUCGAAAUAACCUCGGGAAACUGAGGCUAAUUUCGUAUACCGCUCCUGCACUGGGAUGUGCGGAGCUCGAAACGCUUCGGCGCCAUAGGAUGUGGCUGCGGCCGAUUAGGUUGACGGUGGGGUAACGGCCCACCGUGCCCAUAAUCGGUACGGGUUGUGAGAGCAAGAGCCCGGAGACGGUAUCUGAGACAAGAUACCGGGCCCUACGGGGCGCAGCAGGCGCGAAACCUUUACACUGCACGACAGUGCGAUAAGGGAACUCCGAGUGCGAGGGCAUAGAGCCCUCGCUUUUGUACACCGUAAGGUGGUGUACGAAUAAGGGCUGGGCAAGACCGGUGCCAGCCGCCGCGGUAAUACCGGCAGCCCAAGUGAUGGCCGAUAUUAUUGGGCCUAAAGCGUCCGUAGCUGGCCGGACAAGUCCGUUGGGAAAUCCGCGCGCUUAACGCGCGGGCGUCCAGCGGAAACUGUCCGGCUUGGGGCCGGAAGACCUGAGGGGUACGUCCGGGGUAGGAGUGAAAUCCUGUAAUCUCGGACGGACCGCCUGUGGCGAAAGCGCCUCAGGAAGACGGACCCGACAGUGAGGGACGAAAGCCAGGGUCUCGAACCGGAUUAGAUACCCGGGUAGUCCUGGCUGUAAACGAUGUCCGCUAGGUGUGACGCAGGCUACGAGCCUGCGCUGUGCCGUAGGGAAGCCGUGAAGCGGACCGCCUGGGAAGUACGUCUGCAAGGAUGAAACUUAAAGGAAUUGGCGGGGGAGCACUACAACCGGAGGAGCCUGCGGUUUAAUUGGACUCAACGCCGGG
rnacentral:rRNA from 1 species